GACAGAGGGUGCAAACGUUGUUCGGAAUUACUGGGCGUAAAGCGCGUGUAGGCGGCUCGGCAAGUCGGAUGUGGAAGCCCUGGGCUCAACCCAGGAAGUGCACUCGAAACUGCCGAGCUGGAGUCCCGGAGAGGAAGGCGGAAUUCUCGGUGUAGAGGUGAAAUUCGUAGAUAUCGAGAGGAACACCUGUGGCGAAGGCGGCCUUCUGGACGGCGACUGACGCUGAGACGCGAAAGCGUGGGGAGCAAACAGG
rnacentral:rRNA from 1 species